rnacentral:rRNA from 1 species
UACGGAAGGUGCAAGCGUUGUUCGGAAUUAUUGGGCGUAAAGAGUACGUAGGCGGAUUUGUAUGUCGAUUGUGAAAUCCCAGGGCUUAACCUUGGAAUUGCAGUCGAAACUGCGGAUCUUGAAUACCUGAGAGGGUGGGAGAAUUCCUGGUGGAGAAGUGAAAUUCGUAGAGAUCAGGAGGAAUACCGGAGGCGAAGGCGCCUGCCUGGCAGUGUAUUGACGCUGAGGUACGAAAGCGUGGGGAGCAAACAGG